CGCCCCGCGCGUGCGCACUGGUUGGUCAUCGGCCGGGCAGGUUUCGGCGAGCAGGGCUGCGCGGAGGGGCUUGUGGGAAAUGUGAGGCGAGAGCCUUUGGCAGCGGGAGGAGCAGGGGCUUAGUCCCACCGCCAUCUUUGUCUCGAGAUUUGCUGGAGCCGGACGACUCCUGCUGCUGGUGUAUUUAAAAGGCACGGACUUUUCAAAGGAGACUUUGCUGUGGUGACACAGAAAAAGAGCCCUCGAAAGCUUUGCGCGGGUCUUGAAUAUUCUUUUUGAAGUCUUAGGGAGCAAAUUUCCAUAUUUUCAGCUCCCACUGUCCCUUUUUCCUGGCGUAUUUCUUUACCAUUUUCUUUACUGUAUCUUUUCCCUUUCCCCCGUAAGUACUUUUUUGGUUGUUCCUUUUUAGCUGCUUCUCAGAAGUGAACCUGCUGCUUCCUACUUAAUGAAAAGUUCCGUUGAGCUGUCCCAAGAUAAUUUAAAGGAAAUCAGAAAAGCAAAGAAAAAUGAUUCCAAUUAUAAAGUAGUAAAUUGAGAGGAGAGGCCGUGAGCAGUUAUUUCUCCCGUAAUUAUUAACUCAGGUGACCAGAGAACCUGUGUGUAAACCAACAUCGCACCUUAUGUGGCCGCGGCCGUGUUGUCUACACUGGGCCUUCACACCUCCAGGACUGUUUUAAUUUACAAGUUGAUUCUAAAAUUCAUAUAGAAAUGCAAAAGACCAAGAACAGUUAAGAUAAUUUUAAAGAAGAAAAAGGCUGGGGGACUUGCACCAGCAGAUAUUGUGACUUGUUACAUUGCUACAGUAAUGAAGGUCAAGGACUCAAGACUAGGCAAAGAGUCCAAGGAAACAGAAUAGAAAGAACAGAAAUGACCCAUGGUCUGAAAGUGCAGAGGACAGAGGACACAGACUAUGGGCUGGUUCCCUGUAUAAGCUUGUCUUCCUGGAACCACUUGACAUGGGCUCCACUUUCCUGAAUGGACACUGAAGAACAUAUGCUAUAGACACUGAAGAUAUUUUUCUAAUACUAAGGAAAUAUUAGACUCCUGACAACUAAGUGAAGGUAGUACUAGGGUUUAUGCAGAUUCUGUGUAAUGUUACUAAUUUUUUAAACCUUAAGCUUGAUUUUCCUUCUUUUCAGUAGCAUUUUUUUUGCAUUUGGUUGUUUUCUGGUACCUCUGACAUACUCUAGACAAGGUGCUGGACACUUAAAUUACCUUUGGUGGUUGUCAACCCAUGUCAGUAUGUCAAAUGGUGAUACACACACACACACACACAAAAUAUUUUAGAACAAAAUGACAAUUUAGAUGUGAAAAUCAUUUGAACAUAUGGCAUCCACUUAGUUGUUUCCAGAGAUAAAACUGUGAAGCUAGUGGCUUAAAUAUGAACUUAUAAUUACAAAAGGUUACCAGAGAACAGUAGAUCAGCAACAUAACUUACAUCUGUUAGGAAGUUCCAGUGAUGAUCAUGGGAAUUACAAGCUAAGUUAUUUUCACUAUGAUUCUUGGCAUUGUAGUAGAAUGAAAGAUAAACUAUAAGGUCAAAAAGUACAGAGUAAACAGAAUGCAUUAAGAAAUGGUAGUUAGUGCAGGGCUUCAUUUGUUAUGACACCAAAUAAACAAAUGUGGAAUGUUGGAAAAAUGGACUUUUUGAGGAGUAUAAAUACAUGAAUUAACAUAAGCAAAUCAAUGAGCAAAUUUUACUUUAGAUAUUCAUAAAACCCUUUGCAUAAAGUAAUAGGAUGUCAUCUUCACCCUAUUCAAAUAUGAAAAGAUUUUGAAAAUUAUAAUGUGCAGUACUGAAGAGGAAACUAGUCACCCUGAGCAGGUUAUUCAGCACGUUUCUGGAUGGUAAUUAAGCAAUGUGUUUGACUCACUGCUAGGAAUUUAUCCUGCAGAAAUAGUCAUAGAUGUAUGCUUUGAAUAAUAACAGUUCAUUACAGUCCCAUUUAUGACUGAAAGUACAAAACAAAACAAAACAACACUCCAGGAGUUGGUGCUGUGGCAUAGCAGGUAAAGCUGCUGCCUGCAAUGCCAGUUUCCCAUGUGGGCACUGGUUCUAGUCCUGGCUGCUCCACUUCCAAUCCAGCUCCCUGCAGAUGUGCCUGGGAAGCAGCAGAAGAUGGCCCAUGUGCUUGGGCCCUUGCCACCCACAUGUGAGACUUGAAUGAAUCUCCUGGUUCCUGGCUUAGGUCUCACCCAACCCUGGCAGUUGCAGUCUUUUGAGGAGUGAACCAGCAGAUGGAAGAUCUCUCUCUGUAAUUCUGGCUUUCAAUAAACACAUAAAUCUUAAAAAAAAAGUAAUGUGUAAG